rnacentral:rRNA from 1 species
UACGGGGGGGGCAAGCGUUGUUCGGAAUUACUGGGCGUAAAGGGCUCGUAGGCGGCCAACUAAGUCCGACGUGAAAUCCCCAGGCUUAACCUGGGAACUGCGUCGGAUACUGGAUGGCUUGAAUCCGGGAGAGGGAUGCGGAAUUCCAGGUGUAGCGGUGAAAUGCGUAGAUAUCUGGAGGAACACCGGUGGCGAAGGCGGCAUCCUGGACCGGCAUUGACGGCUGAGGAGCGAAAGCGUGGGGAGCGAACAGG